AUUGAACGCUGGCGGCAUGCCUUACACAUGCAAGUCGAACGGUAACGCGGGGCAACCUGGCGACGAGUGGCGAACGGGUGAGUAAUGCAUCGGAACGUGCCUGGUAGUGGGGGAUAACUGCUCGAAAGAGCAGCUAAUACCGCAUACGACCUGAGGGUGAAAGGGGGGGAUCGCAAGACCUCUCGCUAUCAGAGCGGCCGAUGUCGGAUUAGCUAGUUGGUGGGGUAAAGGCCCACCCAGGCAACGAUCCGUAGCUGGUCUGAGAGGACGACCAGCCACACUGGGACUGAGACACGGCCCAGACUCCUACGGGAGGCAGCAGUGGGGAAUAUUGGACAAUGGGCGAAAGCCUGAUCCAGCCAUGCCGCGUGUGUGAAGAAGGCCUUCGGGUUGUAAAGCACUUUCAGCGAGGAGGAAGGGUGGUGUUUUAAUAGAGCAUCAUUUUGACGUUACUCGCAGAAGAAGCACCGGCUAACUCUGUGCCAGCAGCCGCAGUAACAC
rnacentral:rRNA from 1 species